AAUGAAUAUGGAGAAUUGUUUAUGGCGUAAUAGUUACAGCUUUGGCCAAGCAGAAACAAAGAAACCUGAUCUUACAGUCAAGAAAAAUUGGGAAAAACAGAAAAAGGGAAGAAGGCAAACGGCUGCAACAGGAUGCCGCUAGCUUAACCACAAACUGCAGCUAUUUACAGGAACACGGUAGCCUUUAAGAUGACACGUUCUCUGAAACCCUUUCUGCUGCUCGCCAACAAUCCUUUAACCACAAGAUCCACCAAUGCUGGUUUGAGAGGCGCUCUUGAGAGGAGCACGAAAGGAGGAUGGUCAUGUUUACGUGCCACCACAGACAUUCAGGAACCCAGGGUUAGCUGAACCAGAGUGAAUCCACCUUUGAACUGAACAUCACCUCCUUCAGACCUCCCAGAAAAUGACCUUUUCUAGAGAUCAGGAUGGAUAAUAAGUUUAACAAACUGUUUGAUGAAUCCUCGGUCUAGUGAAGUCCAUGCAGUCCCUCUGAAUGCCCAGCUGCGUGGAAAUACAGCAGUGUCCCAGGGUGGACGAACACAGUGAUGCCCCAAAGACCGAGAGAAGAUCAAAGGAUGACUGAUGGAUAAAAGGACCAAGAAUCAGGAGAUGUUCUUCCAUGAUCAAGAACUGCCCAAGAAUAGCUAGACCUCUCUCCAAAUUGUCUCCUAAAAUGGUAACCGUAUUCCAUGACAAGAUAGAUGAAAACCAGCUUUUCAGAGGCCAACACGUUUAGGUUAUAAACUAGGAGACCAAGAGGAGCUUUGUGUGUAAGCUGGGAGGAGUGUGUGAAGCGUGUAAGGAUUGUGUGUGCAGAGUGCAAGAGCUUCUCUGUUCUGUAACUUGCUCUUUUAUUUGCUGUUUUUCACCUGCUGUUUCUCUCGCUGCCUUUUCCUCACUGGGAAAACUUGCUGGAAUCGAGGAACCACAAUACAAAGCAACUUUUGAUAAUUCUGAUUACUAGUUUAGAUAACCGCUCUGUCUACACUACGUGGGAAAAUCAUCUUGAUCAGCAGUGUGUAGCACUAAUUAGUAUUCAAUGUAUACUAAUUUUAUACUCUUGAAAUGUAUUCAAGGGAGAACUAUAUUUGAACUUUGAUUCAAUAAUUGUGAGGAACCAUUAUACUGUAUAUUGUGGGUUCUAUGUGAUUGUGUCCACAAAGAUCUUGAGAGGGGAGGAAAUGUCUCCCUGUUUUCCCCCUCCCAUCCAAAGUCCACUUCCAGUAUAUACAAUAUCUAAAUAUUGUACUUUUAGUAUCUAAAAUCUAUCCUAUUGUGAUGGAACAAACCUCUGCCCACAACACUCUGGGCUUUCCUGGCAACAAAAGUGUCUAAACAAUUUCAUCUUUAGAUAGGUCAUGAGUCCCUGCUCAUCAUCAUUCACAUCCUGCCAUCUCUUGCAUGGAGUACCAUCAUCUGUCUCUACAGAGUUGCCCUUGAAGACCCCCUGAAAAUUUCAGGGGUCCAGAAUGCAGUGGAUGGGUGCAAUUCAAGGUGGUGGUUGCCACUUUUAAAGACCUUCAUGGCUUAAGAACUGGGUGAUCCAACCAAGCAGAAGAUACAGGUGAAGUCUUGUGCAGUUGGCCAACACGUCCAGGAAACAUACCACCGAGAUAAUGGGGGAUUUCAACUACCCAGCAUCAACUGGGAAUCAAACUCUGCAGUGAGUGGGAGAUCCGACAGGCUCUUGAUGUGCCAAGCAAACAAUUUCAUUGUCCAAAAUGUGGAGGAGGAAAACAGGGGAUCAGUGCUAUUGGACUUAAUGGUUACUACUAGGGAAGACAUGGUUGAAGAAGUUGUAGGAGCUGUGAGAGAGAGUGACCAUGUGAAUCUAGAAUUCACCAUACUGCAGGCAAGGAGAACUGAAGGUAGAUGGAUUAGUGUCCUAGAUUUCAAGAGAGUUGACUUCAACAAAGUAAGGGAAAAGAUAGGAAGGGUUCCAUGGACAGAAAUCCUGAAGUGAAAAACAGGUCAGGAGAGUUGGGAAAUUCUGAAAAUGAGAUAACUAAG